AUGCGUUUAUUUAUAGAUAACGAGUGUAAUUCAGCAAAUGUGUAUGUGUGUAAGAUAUCUAUACCAUCGCAUUUAUGCUAAUAGCUGAUACAGGCAUUCACUGGCAUUCACAGGCGUGCGACGUGCGACCAAUUCUUGCAUGACAGAGAAGCGAAAAGUAGAAUACUUGGAAUAUAUGUAUGACAAAAUAUUCUUCGUGUUAUGGCGUUUUGAUGCCCGUGAGCUAUGUUAUAAUUCCGGGACAAGUGCCUUCUUAUGCGCUCUGAAAGCCAGACGUUUGAAGGCUGAACAUUAUUCCCGUGACAAGGAAAUGCGCGGCGAUACCACUUUAGUUCCUUGACGUUCUUUUACGAUUCGCAAUCAACGAAACAAAAUUAUGUCGAAGCCCGAUGCACCGAAAUUUGUUAUAGCGCUUUUUUCCUUUAAAGGAAAGAAUAACGAUGAGUUGUGUUUUAAGAAGGGAGAUAUAAUAACAAUAACUCAGGUGGAUGAUGAAGGCUGGUGGGAAGGCACGCUACACGACAAAACUGGUUGGUUUCCCUCGAAUUAUGUCAAAGAAUAUAGAAUUCCAGAUGGUGGUCAUACAUCAAUCAAAACAUCUCCAGAAAGGAGUCCACACGAAUCACCUACUCAUCAGAAACUUAAUCGCGACAUAGUAUUGAAGGAUAUUGUGGAUUCUGAGAGAGUAAAUGUAGCAGAACUACAAGGUUUAGCGAAUAACUUUUUACAACCUCUUGAAGCAUCAAAUAUACUGAAGAAAGAUGAAUAUAAACAGCUACUUGGUAAUAUACACGAAAUCUUGGAAACUCAUCAAUGUCUGUUGGCAAAUUUGGAAGCAACCAUUUUACAAGGACUUUCUGCAAGAGUAGGAAACCUUUUUCUAACUAUCGCGCCGAGACUAAAAUCUAUUCACACUACAUAUUGUAAUAAUCAUCCACAAGCUGUUUGUAUAUUAGAUAGAUACAGAGAUGAAUUAAAUGAAUUUAUGGAGCGUAGUGGAGCAAUUUCACCUGGUAUAUUGGUAUUAACCACUGGCCUUAGUAAGCCAUUUCGAAGAUUGGAUAAGUACUCUGCUAUGCUUCAAGAAUUAGAAAGAUAUACCGAAAAGAAUCAUCCUGAUAGAGGAGAUACUCAACGUAGUAUAGCAGUAUAUAGGGAAAUCACAGAUCAUUGUGCUUCUAUACGUAAGCAACGUGAGUUGGCGCUUCAAAUAUUAACCAGUGGAAUCAAAGGCUGGGAAGGUGAAGAAUUAAGUUCGUUAGGUGAGAUUAUUCACGUUGGAGCUGUAACUCUGGCAACUGUAGAUCGCAGAGAUAGAUAUUUUGUUUUGUUUCCCACCACACUGCUAGUACUUAGCACCAGUCCUAGGAUGAGUUCCUUCAUUUAUGAGGGAAAACUUCCAUUAACUGGUAUUAAUGUAACUGGAGUUGAAGAUACGGAUGAAAUAAGAAAUGCUCUUGAGAUCACUGGACCAAUGAUUGAGAGUAUUGUCGUGUUAUGCGCCACAAGGGAAGAAAGACAGCGUUGGAUUGAUCUCUUGAUUCAGGAACAAGGCACUAGUAGCCUCUUGAAAUCACCAACAGUGUCUCGUGUGAGUUGUCAUCAUCCUCCGUACGCGCGACUCUCGAGAUACUUUGCGAAGCUCGUGAGGAGAAAAGUUAUAUAUCCCGAAUUAAUGAAAAAGUUGUUGUAUAUACAAUAUGUUUUGAAGCCAGACUUGAGCAAUGUAAAAAUGAGAAAAUGCAAUGUGACCUAUAUUAUUUUAACUGCUAGUAGCAGUGGAGGAUCAGAGUCGAACACAUCCACUGAAAGUAAUGCACAGGAGGAGCCACGAACAUUGCGUAAAUCUUCGUUAAUACUGGAUGUUAAAUACGUGAUAGAUAAUACUGAUCUUAGUACGGUAGGACUCGCAAAUACUGCCUCACUCACGAAUUUCGCACCGAGAGUCGAUCGCUGUACCUUCGAAACUAGUAAAAGUUUACCGGCCGUUGCCACAAUGAGUCACGUCCUGCCGCUCGCGUCAAGCAAAUCCUAUACAUCGAAAUUUCAUACGCGCUGUAAUGAAUUUUGUCGAGAACAUUUGGAAAUACCAGACGACCAAGAGCACAGCGGUCUAACGAUGAAUUAUUCAAAAACGAUCGAACUCUAUCCAAAGAUGUCGGAGAUUCAAUAUUCGACGACAUCCAACCAGAAAAAUAGCGUAAAAAGAGAAACGUGCGCAAACACUAGUUUACGGUCAUCGGAUUCGGGAAUGGCCGAAAGUUAUCGCUUGAAUUCAUCUGAAAUUAAUUCCUGUUACAAGUCGUACGCAUCUAGUCAUACCAAGUAUACAGAUCCUGUAAGAACAUCUCAUAGCGAAAGCGAUAACGAUGAGAAUAAAUUUGAGCAUCAGUGUAUUUGCACUUCGCCGUUUGGCUCUACACCUCGAGACAGUGCCCAUUCUCUAGCUUCGUCCAAAAAUAUUGAUGAAUGUACAAAUUCUGCAAGACCUAGCGAUAGAGAUGCGAAUAACGAUCCGAAUAAUAGCGAGAAAAAAAUUCAAGAAACUCUAUUAACUCAUCCUCUGAUAAAUUAUGGAAAUGUACAAGGAAAGAGGUAUACGCAACCGAUACCGUACGCACAUCAAUGUGUAAUUAAGAAAAUCGGGAGACAUGUAGUUCGUCCAAUACAACCGAUUAUGGAGGAACAUGACGAACCAACUAAUCAAGUGUAUUCAUCUGGACUGUAUGCUCAUUGGUGGCUCAAGAAACCUAUCCCGAUAUUUGGAUACACGGAACAAGCAGAUGAACAAUCAGUUGAACGGGAAGCACCAACGGCCGAUAAUGGAGCAUUGCACAUCUCCAGGAAUUAAGACACCUUGGAGUCUUGCAUCAUUAAGACCUGCUCCUCCCUUAUAUUCUCUUAAGAAUUUUGGAAAAACAGAUACUACCACAGAUACAUCACGCCUACAACGAUCAUGCAACGAGCGACAGUUUGAAGAAGAUGCAAUCAUACUGAAAGUAAUAGAGGGUUAUUGUCUUUCUGUCAAUGCUAGAUUUACUGUACAUUCUGGAGAAUCUAAUUCAAUGUUAGAUUAUGAUUCACAAAAAUCACGUGAUAGGAUAUCAUCUGCGCAUAAUAGAGGCAACUGGGAAUCUUGUAAUGACAG